rnacentral:rRNA from 1 species
GACGAACGCUGGCGGCGUGCUUAACACAUGCAAGUCGAACGGUUAAGCGCCUUCCUUUUUGGUGGGUGGGGAUGAGUGGCGAACGGGUGAGUAACACGUGAGUAACCUGCCCCCUUCUUCUGGAUAACCGCAGGAAAGUGUGGCUAAUACGGGAUAUGCUGGGUCUGGCGCAUGAUGGGUCUGGGAGAGAUAUUGUGUCGGUGGGGGAUGGGCUCGCGGCUUAGCUGUUUGGUGGUGUGGUGAUGGCCUACCAAGGCGGUGAGGGGUAGCCGGCCUGGGAGGGUGGACGGUAACACUGGUACGGCGACGCCGACCAGACUCCUACGGGCGGCAGCAGUGGGGAAUAUUGCACGAUGGGAGCACGCUUGCUGCAGCGCCGCCGCGGGAGGGAUGGAGGUCUUCGUGUUGUGAACCUCUUUCGCGAGUGAAGCAGGCCUGCCUAGUUUGUGGGUGGGUUGACGGUAGCUGGAGAAGAAGCGCCGGCUAACUACGUG